rfam:Camelus ferus unplaced genomic scaffold scaffold370, whole genome shotgun sequence.
GAGGGUAUAGCUCAACUGGUGGGGCACAUGCUUAGCAUACACAAGGUCCUGGGUUCAAUCCCCAGUACCUCCU